GCUUAACACAUGCAAGUUGAACGGGAUUAAAUUGGUAGCUUGCUAUUGAUUUAUGAGAGUAGCGCACUGGUGAGUAACACGUGGGAACGCACCUAUUGGUGGGGGACAACAGUUGGAAACGACUGCUAAUACCGCAUAAGCCCUGAGGGGGAAAGAAAUAUUUGCCGAUAGAACGGCCCGCGGAAGAUUAGGCAGUUGGUGGGGUAAAGGCCUACCAAACCUACGAUCUAUAGCUGAUCUGAGAGGAUGAACAGCCACAUUGGAACUGAGACACGGUCCAGACUCCUACGGGAGGCAGCAGUGAGGAAUAUUGGGCAAUGGAGGAAACUCUGACCCAGCCAUGCCGCGUGAGUGAGAAGGUCUUCGGAUUGUAAAGCUCUUUUAUGCAGGAAGAUGAUGACAGUACUGCAAGAAAAAGCACCGGCAAACUUCGUGCCAGCAGCCGCGGUAAUACGAAGGGUGCGAGCGUUGUUCGGAAUUACUGGGCGUAAAGGGUGUGUAGGCGGAUUAUUAAGAUAGCGGUGAAAUGCCUGGGCUUAACCGAGGAAUUGCCGUUAUGACUAAUGAUCUAGAGUGACAGAGAGGAUACUGGAAUACCCAGUGUAGAGGUGAAAUUCGUAGAUAUUGGGUAGAACACCGGUGGCGAAGGCGAGUAUCUGGCUGUAGACUGACGCUGAGGCACGAAAGCAUGGGGAUCAAACAGGAUUAGAUACCCUGGUAGUCCAUGCUGUAAACGAUGAAUGCUAGUUGUCGGGGUGAACUUGGUGACGCAGCAAACGCGAUAAGCAUUCCGCCUGGGGAGUACGGCCGCAAGGUUAAAACUCAAAGGAAUUGACGGGGACCCGCACAAGCGGUGGAGCAUGUGGUUUAAUUCGAUGCAACGCGAAGAACCUUACCAACUCUUGACAUCCUUAUCGGGGAGAACAGAGAUGUUUUCUUUCAGUUAGGCUGGAUAAGUGACAGAUGCUGCAUGGCUGUCGUCAGCUCGUGUCGUGAGAUGUUGGGUUAAGUCCCGCACGAGCGCACCCUUGCACAUAGUGCAGCAUUAGGUGGGCACUCUAUGUGACUGCGUGACAGCGAGAGGUGGGAUGACGUCAGUCAUCAUGCUCUACGAGUGGCUACCACGUGCUACAUGGCGAUACGAGGGAGCGAGGUGAAUGGCCAUCUAAAAUCGUCUUAGUCGAAUGAACCUUCGCCACUCGAUACAUGGAUGAUCGUAAUCUACCAUGCCGGGAAUCUUCCGGCCGA
rnacentral:rRNA from 1 species